CCUCCUGAGUAGCUGGGACUACAGGCACGUACCACCACGCAUGGCUAAUUUUUGUAUUUUUAGUAUGGAGGGUGUUUCGCCAUGUUGGCCAGGCUGGUCUCAAAC